CUCUUUGGUUUUCUAGCUGUAUGAUUGUCUCGACUCAUAAGGCUGGACGACUAAAGGA
rnacentral:pre_miRNA from 1 species